rnacentral:rRNA from 1 species
AGUGAACGCUGGCGGUAGGCCUAACACAUGCAAGUCGAACGGCAGCACAGUAAGAGCUUGCUCUUACGGGUGGCGAGUGGCGGACGGGUGAGGAAUACAUCGGAAUCUACUUUUUCGUGGGGGAUAACGUAGGGAAACUUACGCUAAUACCGCAUACGACCUACGGGUGAAAGCAUGGGAUCUUCGGACCUUGCGCGAUUGAAUGAGCCGAUGUCGGAUUAGCUAGUUGGCGGGGUAAUGGCCCACCAAGGCGACGAUCCGUAGCUGGUCUGAGAGGAUGAUCAGCAACACUGGAACUGAGAAACGGUACAGACUCCUACGGGAGGCAGCAGUGGGGAAUAUUGGACAAUGGGCGCAAGCCUGAACCAGACAUACCGCGUGGGUGAAGAAGGCCUUCGGGUUGUAAAGCCCUUUUGUUGGGAAAGAAAAGCAGCAGGUUAAUACCCCGCUGUUCUGACGGUACCCAAAGAAUAAGCACCGGCUAACUUCGU